rnacentral:rRNA from 1 species
UGGGGAAUAUUGGGCAAUGGAGGCAACUCUGACCCAGCAACGCCGCGUGAGGGAAGAAGGUUUUCGGAUUGUAAACCUCUGUCCUAGGGGACGAAGAAAGUGACGGUACCCUAGGAGGAAGCCCCGGCUAACUACGUGCCAGCAGCCGCGGUAAUACGUAGGGGGCGAGCGUUGUCCGGAAUUACUGGGCGUAAAGGGUGCGUAGGCGGUUUGGUAAGUUAGAUGUGAAAUCCCCGGGCUUAACUCGGGAGUUGCAUUUAAAACUGCUGAACUAGAGUGCAGGAGAGGAAAGCGGAAUUCCUAGUGUAGCGGUGAAAUGCGUAGAUAUUAGGAGGAACACCAGUGGCGAAGGCGGCUUUCUGGACUGUAACUGACGCUGAGGCACGAAAGCGUGGGGAGCGAACA